CCUUUGACGUUAGCGGCGGACGGGUGAGUAACACGUGGGUAACCUACCUAUAAGACUGGGAUAACUUAGGGAAACCGGAGCUAAUACCGGAUAAUAUUUCGAACCGCAUGGUUCGAUAGUGAAAGGUGGUUUUGCUAUCACUUAUAGAUGGACCCGCGCCGUAUUAGCUAGUUGGUAAGGUAACGGCUUACCAAGGCGACGAUACGUAGCCGACCUGAGAGGGUGAUCGGCCACACUGGAACUGAGACACGGUCCAGACUCCUACGGGAGGCAGCAGCU
rnacentral:rRNA from 1 species